AGAUCUUUUUAUCCAGAGAAGUACCAGUUUGUUGUUUUUCCUUCCGAAGCCAAGUCCUCGAGUUUCAGGUAGACUUCAGUUGAUUUCUGCGAGGUCUUUGCUUUCUCUCUGCCAGAAUAAUCACUGCUGAGGAAAGCAAAAAGCCCCGAAGAGCCUGGCUUGGAAUAAAAACAUGCACCAUACAAGAUUUUUAUGAAGAUUAAAUAACUUGGGCUAAAAUAUUCUGGAAGCUGCCAAGGGCUCUACAGAUGAGCUAUACAGAGGCAUUUGCUGAAAACUGGCCUGGAUUGACAAGCGCAAUGCAAACGUGGCUGCGGCAGUUCCAGGCAUCACAUGGUAACAAGAUCACAUCCAGUGAAGAAGGAAUUCUCAUAAGACAGUCAGCAGAUUUUGCAGGUGAAGAUACACAAAGGAUAGAUCAAGGUCAUGAUUUAAUGCAGAUGGCUGAAUUAUGACCAAAAAAACAUCCAUAGUCAGCUCCAGUCAUAUUUCUGACCUGAGGCUGGGCUUAAGGUCUACACAGCUGGAAACAUCCAUUUCUGAUGCCAGCUACAUCAUUCCCUGAUGAGAACAGUGCCAGCAGUGAACCCCUCACCACUCCCCACACCCAACCCCCACCUCAGUGUCCCCAGGGUAUUAUCAGUUGUGUCAGCCUAGAGUCUCUGAGUUUGGUCUGGCUCUGCCCCUCCCCCAUCCGUUUAGAAAGAAUCUAUUUCUGUUUCUCUCUCUCUCUCUCUCUCAUGCCUCAAUCUCAUGUCCUCCUGCUGACUCUAAAGAGACAGCUGAUUGUGGGAAAGAUUUAAAUUGGGUUAUUCUCUCUUAAUAUAAUUUUUGUAAAAUACUAUAAAUGAAUUUCUUCAUGGCCGCCAAAGAGAAGUGCUGCUAUUUCUAGCACCAGACUGACAGGAAUGGUGCCUGUUAGGAUUAAGUUAAGCUGCAAUGGGAACAUUAAAUAUGGCUUAAACAAGA
rnacentral:lncRNA from 1 species